GCCAGUUUGGCUUAAUGGAUAGAGCGUUAACCUGCAGACUAAAGGGUGCCAGGUUCAAUUCUGGUAAAGGGCA
rfam:Myotis davidii contig222555, whole genome shotgun sequence.